CCUACGGGUGGCAGCAGUGAGGAAUAUUGGUCAAUGGUCGGGAGACUGAACCAGCCAAGCCGCGUGAGGGAUGAAGGUACAGAGUAUCGUAAACCUCUUUUGUCAGGGAACAAAGGCGGGGACGUGUCCCCGGAUGAGUGUACCUGAAGAAAAAGCAUCGGCUAACUCCGUGCCAGCAGCCGCGGUAAUACGGAGGAUGCGAGCGUUAUCCGGUUUUAUUGGGUUUAAAGGGUGCGCAGGCGGUCUGUUAAGUCUGCGGUAAAAGCCAGGGGCUCAACCCCGGCCCGCAGUUGAAACUGGCAGUCUCGAGUUGGAGAGAAGUAUGCGGAAUGCGCGGUGUAGCGGUGAAAUGCAUAGAUAUCGCGCAGAACUCCGAUUGCGAAGGCAGCAUGCCGGCUCCACACUGACGCUGAGGCACGAAAGCGUGGGUAUCGAACAGGAUUAGAUACCCCGGUAGUC
rnacentral:rRNA from 1 species